CCCACCACUCUCUCCUCUGUCCCUCGUUCCUAAUCUCUCCAACCGCAUGCCACCCGCCUCCAGCCCCAACUCUCCGGCAACCCGCCUCCCCCCGCCACCCACCUCCGGUGACGCGUCGCGCCCAGCACCUCCCACCUCCGGCGACGCGCCGCGACGACCGCACCCUACCUCGUCCCUCAUGCCGCGCACUGCCCCUAAACCCUGCCUCCUCCCUCAUGUCGCGCACUGCCCCUGAACCAUGCCUCCUCCCUCGCGCCACCCCCACUGCCCCACGAGCGUGGCCGCCCCUCCAUGGAUCCGAGCUCGUGCGCCGCUGCUCCUCCCACCAUGCCGAGCUCGCACGCCACCGCCGUCGGUGCCACCAACUGGCCGCCCCUCGUCAGUCCGUGUGUUCCAUCCACACCAAAAUCACCGUCCCCGGCUUCCCAUGGAUCCGUGUGUGCCGCCGCCCACCAGAAGGAUGCUCUCAUGCUCCCCGAUGCCGCUUUCCUUAAGCAUUCGUGCGCUCCAAAAGUCAACGCGACACAGUUUCUUCCUCCAGCAACACCUCCUACAAGCACCAGCGGUUCUGAGGUUACCUUGGUACCCGGCGACAGCGGGUAGGCGGCAAGUGUAUUGGUGAGCAGCUACCCAGAAAAUACUGGAACAUCGCUUCCAAAUGUAUGAGAGGCCGCCCGUGAGGAAGUUGCCAAUCUGGUCGAGGCAUGCUGCUAUUCUCUAUAUCCGGUAGCACAAACAUUUAAAAGUUUGAACACCAAACCCUGGUAAGUUCUUCUUAACAAAAACCCAUUCCUCAUAUUUGUUCCUUUUUUCGUAGGUUGAAGUUAAAACAAGAUGGAGAUGUGUGUAUGUAUACAUGUGUUUUGGAGAGAGAAGAACUUAUCUGGUAGUGUGCGUGUGUGUGCUGCUGCAUCCUCGUUUGGCAGCUCUAAUCCACACUCUCAGUACAACUUCUCUAUGAUCUCAUGUUCAAAAAUCUUGUAGUACAUUUUUUUAAUAAAAAUCUUCUAGUACUAUGUAAAGCAAGCGUGGCCAACACAUACUUUAGGUGUCGCAGUAGUACGCACUGUUGAUGGUGGCCUUUCUUUGUGGCGCUACUACUUUGCCACCUAGAGUAGUACUGCUACUACUUAUCAUGUUGCUAAAACCUAGCGAAAGUACAUGUAUUUGAUUAACAGUUUUGUAGGAAGAAAAAUUUCACCAAUAUAUAGUCUCUAGGUUUAGUAAAGGAAUCUUUUUGUUUAGUAGCUAAUACUGCUCAAGUUUAUUUCUUGUUGUACAUAAGAUCACUACUGGAAUCAGCUACUUUGUCAUUUGCCAGCUCUUUGCCGUCAGCUAGCGGACGGCAAAGAAGCUCUUUGCCAUCAGC